rnacentral:lncRNA from 1 species
CUGGAGAAUCCCAGGUAUGGGGGAGCCUGGUGGGCUGCUGUCUAUGGGGUCGCACAAAUUCGGACACGACUGAAAUGACUUAGCAGCAGCAAGCAGUACGGGACUAUGCCAGAGAUAUAGUAAAACCGACACCAAUAGCUCAAUGUUGAGUCUGAUGGAGAAUUUCCUAGUAUUGGCAGAACCUAGCAAAAAAUGUCUUAAGGAAUGAGAAUGAGCAGGCCUCAGUUCUUGACUGUCAUGAGUCAAGAACUGGUUGAUGUCAACUGAUGUAAAGUUUAAUAUUCUGGGAAUAAAUGGAUUUAGAAGUUAGUCUAUUUGGAGAUGUGGUGAGGUGGAGUGAUAACUCGAAAGAAGGAGUUACCAGUUAACUGGAUGGAGGAAGACUCAUGCUAAAUUCUCCCUAAUCUCCUUUAUAACUCUAUUAAUCUAUGAUUUUUAAAGUCAAUGCUCUUCACUCAAGUGAAUUCAUUUUUAUAGACCAAGGAAAGAAUUUUGAAAGUGAUUUAUGUGCAUGGGGAUAUUUCUUUAUUCCUGCUUUUUUGCAUACUUUCCCUGAUAAUAAUGGAGGCUGUGGGUUACUAAAGAAGUUCACAACACUCUUCACUGUCACUAUGGAAGCCUUUACUGGGCUCCUCCCCUCCCCAGGGCACACACAUAUCUCAAACAUUUCCAGGAUUCACACAGUUUGCAGAUUACCCACUGGUAUAUUUUGGUCCUUUUUCUUUUUCAUAACUUUAUAUUUUGAAUAAUCUCACAAAGAAAACUGCUGGAGUCCAUCAAAAAUAUAUAAUCAAUUCACAAGUGUUGAUUCAUUAUCUACAACUUGCAAAGCUCUCCUUUUCAGAUAGCUGAUUCACAGUGUAAGCAGAGUCAUUCAACCACUGACGGUAAGUCUGAGUGAACUGGUGAUGAUGAAGGCCCCUAAUAUAGCACCCAUCAGUUUCAGCAAUGUGAAUGCUCCAUCUACAGAAAUCAUCAUAGACUCAGCUGUAUCACUAAGACAGUAUAUUAAAGCCAGUGAAGGACAGAAUGAAAAGUCCAAUCCAAUUAGCUUUGCAAUGGUGUUUAUCACCUAUCAGGAUGCCCAUAAUUUCCAAUGCAUAUUUGACAACCUCUACUUUCUCUUCCUUAUCUUGUGGGCCCAAACAUGUCACAAUAAGGAAAUUGAAAAUUCACAUUUGCAUGGUCCCCUUUUGCAUCAUCAUUGCUGCUACAGUGAUAACACAUUUCACCAUUUAUACAUAUUGUGA